GAUGAACGCUAGCUGCAGGCUUAACACAUGCAAGUCGAGGGGCAGCAUGGUCUUAGCUUGCUAAGGCCGAUGGCGACAGGCGCACGGGUGAGUAACACGUAUCCAACCUGCCGUCUACUCAUGGACAGCCUUCUGAAAGGAAGAUUAAUACAAGAUGGCAUCAUGAGUCCGCAUGUUCACAUGAUUAAAGGUAUUCCGGUAGACGAUGGGGAUGCGUGCCAUUAGAUCGUAGGCGGGGUAACGGCCCACCUAGUCUUCGGUGGCUAGGGGUUGGGAGAGGAAGGGCCCCCACAUUGGAACCGGGACACGGUCCAAACUCCUACGGGAGGCAGCAGUGAGGAAGAUUGGUCUAGGGGCGCAUGCCUGAACCAGCCAAGUAGCGUGAAGGAUGACUGCGCUAUGGGUUGUAACCUUCUUUUAGAAAGGAAUAUAGUCGUGUAUGGAUGCCCGUUUGCCUGUACUUUAUGAAUAAGGAUCGGCUAACUCCGUG
rnacentral:rRNA from 1 species